rnacentral:lncRNA from 1 species
AUCCGUUGGGUUAAGUGACCGGGUGAGGGUCACCAAACUUAGAAGGUGCAUUCCUUGUUUUUUUUCUCUUUUCGGAGCACUCACUUAUAUUCAUCGGCUUCCCUGCAUAGAGCGUGUGUGAGAUGGUGCUGACUGCUGAUAUAAACUACUCAAGAGCUGUCAGAGGAUGAGAAUGUAAGGCUAAAACAUAAUAAAAAUUCAACUCAAUUUCCAUAUGCAGGAGACUUACGGUGUUAAAACAAUACCAAUCUUGUGAACUUUUCCCAAGUCUCUACAAACCAACAUCAAAUUAUUCUAUAGCCUAAAACUUUCAACAAAAAUGCAAUUUUUUUUAGAAAGAAAACAAAAAACAAAACAAAACAAAGAACAAAAACAAAGACAAUAAAGUAUUCCUUCCCCCACACUUAAAAUAUGCAUUGUCCUCAAUGAA